AUUUGAAGCAUAUUGCUUUCUCUUUACCUGAUUUCUAUGGAAUUUAGAAACUACUUGUGAGUAUUCUCAACUUAUGGCAGUAUAGUUAUUUGAAUAAGUGCAAUGAGAAUCUGUUCUCUUCUGAAACAAGACACAAUUGGAGAAACUGGUUAUUUUACCAAGGCUUUGACUAAAAUGACAUGCUUUCUUUAGGGAAUCAAAGUGGACUUAUAAAGCCAAUAAAGCCCCUUGGGAAAGCUGGCCUCAUGCAUUGUCUACAGAGUCCUUGUACAGAGUUCCUGACCAGUGGUAAGUAAAGAAUGUCGCUUUCUGACAGGCCCAGGAGCCCCAAGUUAUCUUGAGACCUUGAGAUGAGGAAUUCACAGGUGUUUGGAGGCAUAGAUAAAUCCAUGGCUGGGCUUCAAGGCUUUUAAAAAGUACAACCUGAGAUUCUUUAUAGAACAGUUUCAGCAAAGCCAAUAUUAAAAAGAGCCUAUGUGAAAAAUAAUUAUUCUUGCUACACUUUAUGCAAAUAAUCAGGCCAAAUAUGAUAAGACUAAAGUUUAUUUUGUGAACAGAUCAGUUCUAUCAUGAUGUGUUUUUGAUAAAAAUAGGGACUGGACGGGAGGCUGAGGCAGGAGAAUGGCGUGAACCCGGGAGGCGGAGCUUGCAGUGAGCCGAUAACAAAUUAGCCACAAGAUUAGAAAUUAUGGUUCAGGAAUCAUACAGCUGAGGCUACAAGAUUCUGACUCUAUCUAAACUGCUCCUAAUAUCAGUGCUUGAGAUAUUUUACAGUCUCUGCACUUGAUGGAUCAGCUGGCACCACCAGAUGAAUAAACUGGCUCAUCUGAUCUUGUGGUCCCCACCCAGGAACUGACUCAGUGCAAGAAGACAGCUUCUACUCCCUGUGAUUUCAUCUCUGACCUGACCAAUCAGCACUCCCAGCUCACUAACUUUUCCCCCACCCACCAAGUUGUCCUUAAAACCCUGAUCCCCGAAUGCUCAGGGAGACUGAUUUGAGUAAUAAUAAAACUCUGGUCUCCUGCCAAAAAAAAAAAAAAAAAAAAAAAAAAGGGAAAGAAAAAGAGUAAUAUAUGUGGCAGAGUUUGUGUAACUGGUAGUUCUCCAAAUUAACUUCCAUGUAGAAUAAAAUAAUUUUUAGUGAAUAAAUUUAAAAAGAGAUAAUUUGAAGCUUACACACAUAUUAUUAUAAUGCAACAGUAACUGUAGCAAUUGCUUAGAACUUAGAUUAACUUUUUUUUUUUUGUUAAGGGUCAUUGUAUCACUAACAUUGCCUAGAAUUGUUGUACAAGGUGAUAAUAAAAAUCAGAUUGACUUUUAGUUUGUUUUAUUACUAUUUAAACUUUUUUUUUUACAGACAAUUCACCCCUUAUUUCUGCACCCGGGCCAGGCUGCUCUUACCUCUCAACCCUGUUACCCACUGGUUCUCAGUAUGCGCCUGAGAUCCCAGGGAAGGUGCUUGGAAUAGAUCUGAGUAUUCUGCCUGAGACAGGACUUGGAGUGACUCUGGUAAGAGUCCAGGUGGAGCCCCUGAGGAGGUGUUGGUAGUGACCACAGUCAGUCUGGCAGGAUUGAGGAAAGUGGUCCCAAUCAAUGUUUUGGGAGGCAGCUGAAGAAAAAAGAUCCCAGCCUCUAAGAGAAUUUUUGUCCGCAAACUCUGCUGGAAGAAGGGGGUUGGAUCUGCUGAUACCACUGCAGAGAACCCCUAAAUGCCUGCAUCCUAUUCUGCAGGAGCCUCUGUGAAGCAGUGUUUGGGGAGCCAGUUUAGGGGAACACAGCAAAGUGUUCGAUCAGGGGUUUAGUGAUGAUGGUAGGAAGCAAUUAUUGAUUAAACCCCAAGCCGACUUCUAUCUCUAGAAUCCUGAAUGUCUAGAAAUAGCCUAGGAACUGGCUCUUUCUUGAUAUAUAUUAAUUCUUACCCUCAGAGCAGGGUAAUCCAACAUUUUGGGAGGCACUGGACAAAGAUACAGCCUAUCUCUAGUAUCUUAUGGAAUGAUGAUCAUAUUGGGUGAUCAGUUGAAAUGAGUUUUUCAGAGUCACCAGGAUAUUGAGGAUAACAACAAAUCAAAACACACCCCAAGCUGAAACAAGAAGCCUUGUAAGCAACUGAAUUUAGGAAAAUUAACUCCUGAUUUACAUGUAACUAAAGUUGAGGUGGUCCAGGGUGAUGGAGGGGCAGAAUUUGGAUAGAAUCAGCACAAUCCUCUACAGUGACUUCAUUCUGGAAAUGGUGACUAGCUGUUUCCGACUUGGCUUAUUCUCUUCAUGUGGUGUUCUUUCCCCUCCCUGCUUUAUUUCCUUCUAUUAUUAGUGAGAUGAACUGCCUGCUGCAGAAAUUAUAAGGUCUUUCAAGGUCAAAGAAGGACUCUGACUCAUGUAUCCCAUUUCCUCUCCCCUCCCUUUUAUACCCAAGCUAGCACUGUGCUUUUCUAAGUUUGAAAAGUUUACAAGUUCAUAAAAAAGAAAAAAAACCUUAAAAAAUCUUAAAAAAUAGAAAGCUUUGAUUUCUUUGUGUUUCUUGAUGACUUCACCUUUACUUAGCACAAUUAUUUAUCCUCUCCUUUCUCUUUUAUUUGCUAGUUAUUGAGAAUUUUUAAUUUAUAUUUUAUUCUUUUGAGACAGGGUCUUACUCUGUUGCCCAGGCUGGGGUGCAGUGGUGAGCUCUCUG
rnacentral:lncRNA from 1 species